AUGAACGCUGGCGGCGUGCUUAACACAUGCAAGUCGAGCGAGAAGUUUUGAAAAGAUUCUUCGGAUGAAAUUUAAAAUGGAAAGCGGCGGACGGGUGAGUAACGCGUAGGCAACCUGCCCCAUACAAAGGGAUAGCAUUUGGAAACGAAUAUUAAUACCUUAUGAAACUUAACUAGUGCAUGCUAGGUAGGUCAAAGAUUUAUCGGUAUGGGAUGGGCCUGCGUCUGAUUAGCUAGUUGGUGAGGUAACGGCUCACCAAGGCGACGAUCAGUAGCCGACCUGGGAGGGUGAACGGCCACAUUGGAACUGAGACACGGUCCAAACUCCUACGGGAGGCAGCAGUGGGGAAUAUUGCACAAUGGGGGAAACCCUGAUGCAGCAACGCCGCGUGAACGAUGAAGGCCUUUGGGUCGUAAAGUUCUGUUCUAGGUGAUGAAAACUGACAGUAACCUAGGAGAAAGCCCCGGCUAACUCCGUG
rnacentral:rRNA from 1 species